GACGAACGCUGGCGGCGUGCCUAAUACAUGCAAGUCGAACGGACCGCGACUGAGUGCUUGCACUUGGUCAAGGUGAGUGGCGAACGGGUGAGUAACACGUGGGUAACCUACCUCAUAGUGGGGGAUAACAGUCGGAAACGACUGCUAAUACCGCAUAGGACAUGGAAUCACAUGAUUCUGUGAGGAAAGGUGGCGCAAGCUAUCGCUAGGAGAUGGACCCGCGGUGCAUUAGCUAGUUGGUAGGGUAAGGGCCUACCAAGGCGAUGAUGCAUAGCCGACCUGAGAGGGUGAUCGGCCACAUUGGGACUGAGACACGGACCAAACUCCUACGGGAGGCAGCAGUAGGGAAUCUUCCGCAAUGGACGCAAGUCUGACGGAGCAACGCCGAGUGAGUGAAGAAGGUCUUCGGAUCGUAAAGCUCUGUUGUUAGAGAAGAACAGCGCAUAGAGUAACUGUUAUGCGUGUGACGGUAUCUAACCAGAAAGCAACGGCUAACUACGUG
rnacentral:rRNA from 1 species